rnacentral:rRNA from 1 species
GAUGAACGCUGGCGGCGCGCCUAACACAUGCGAGUCGAACGGUAAGAGCCCGUUCGGGUGGGGUUCAAGAGGGGCGAGGGGGUGUAAAACGCGGGAAAACUGUGCCCUUGAUUGGGAGAGAAACGGAAAAAAGUGGGGAAUAUAGCAGACUUCGAGACUUGCGGCUGGGAGGCGGGUGGAAGGUCUCGGCGGGGGGGGAUGGACCCGCGGCUGAUCAGCUUGUUGGUGGGGUAGGGGCUUACCAAGGCAUUGAGGGGUAGCUGGGUUGAGAGGCUGACCAGCCAGAUUGGGACUGAGACACGGCCCAGACUCCUACGGGAGGCAGCAGUGGGGAAUCUUGCACAAUGGGCGGAAGCCUGAUGCAGCGACGCCGCGUGCGGGAUGAAGGCCUUCGGGUUGUAAACCGCUUUCAGCUGGGACGAGGCGAAAGUGACGGUACCGGCAGAAGAAGCCCCGGCUAACUACGUG